rnacentral:misc_RNA from 1 species
UCUCCGUUGGUGAACCAGCGGAGGGAUCAUUACCGAGUUCCAGCAACUCCCAACCCUUGCGAACCGUACCCCAGUCUGUUCUCGUUGCUUCCGGCAGGCGGGGGGGGCCACCUGGCCCCUCCCCCUGCCGGGGGCGGCGGGCCCUCUGAACCUUAUAUCUCAACCACUGAAACCCGUCUGAGCAAAACAAAAAAUAAUCAAAACUUUCAACAACGGAUCUCUUGGCUCUG